AACGAACGCUGGCGGCAGGCUUAACACAUGCAAGUCGAACGCGUCCCUCGGGACGAGUGGCAGACGGGUGAGUAACGCGUGGGAACGUACCCUUUGGUUCGGAACAACUCCGGGAAACUGGAGCUAAUACCGGAUAAGCCCUUCGGGGGAAAGAUUUAUCGCCAGAGGAUCGGCCCGCGUUAGAUUAGCUAGUUGGUGAGGUAAUGGCUCACCAAGGCUACGAUCUAUAGCUGGUCUGAGAGGAUGAUCAGCCACACUGGGACUGAGACACGGCCCAGACUCUUACGGGAGGCAGCAGUGGGGAAUCUUGGACAAUGGGCGAAAGCCUGAUCCAGCCAUGCCGCGUGAAUGAUGAAGGCCCUAGGGUUGUAAAAUUCUUUCGACGGGGAAGAUAAUGACGGUACCCGUAGAAGAAGCUCCGGCUAACUUCGUGCCAGCCGCCGCCGUAAGAC
rnacentral:rRNA from 1 species